GGAGCCUUUUACGUGGGUUCCAGACGUUGCCGAGGGAACCGCGUGUUUACGCACGAGCGCGGGGCGGGACGCCAGCGGAGUAGCUCUGCCGAGUGGGCCCACGACAGUCUCUCCUCUCGGUUACCAACUGCCCAACUGGAGCGGAGGUCUGGGCUGGCUUCAGAGUGCCAGACCACCCCCCUGGGGGCCUAUACUCCGCUAGCUUAAAGGCCGACUGGCUCGCACACGAAUGAGCAAUCACCAAAGGUUCACUCUCCUCUCUUAUCGGGCAGGAGCUAACAAGCUUUUCAUGUAUUUCGGAGCUAAAAGAAGUUGCCAAGUAGGGGAGAUAUUUCCGUAAAGCCUGCACCCAAACAGGCCCCCAGGUGAUUCAUACACACCGGAAGAACAUUUCCCUAAGGAGGAACAGUAUGGAAAUUGUGAGUUCUGAGAGUUGAUGAGAAGAGUGACCCAACUCUUGUGACAUCUGGAAGACUUGGAGCAAAGAGGAUUGCGAGUUCGUGAUGAAGGGGUGAUGGAUG